ensembl:lncRNA
AAAACAGUAAAUUUUCACAGUGACAUAAAGGUUACAAAAGUUAUUGUGCUAUAUUCACAAAGGAAUUGUAAACCAUUAUUUGAUUAAGCUCAACAUGAUAUGUAUCCUGAAUCAGGUGGAGAGAAAUGCCAGUGAAGUUAAUCAGUGCCAAAAUUAGUUUGGAGUGAAUCCUCUGAAUGCCUUUUCUGAAGUCCAAAGGAAGGAACUGUCAACACUGGACUAUUUCUACAGGUCCUGGAAGGAAGCGUUGCAAUGUGUUCACAGGAUCAUAUGUUUUUGUGCAAAUUGGAAGAGUAAGAUAUUUUUAACUACAAUUUGUGAAAGACUAUUAUCUGGCAGGAGAAAUAUCAAUAACCUCAGAUUUGCAGAUGACACCACCCUUAUGGCAGAAAGUGAAGAAGAGCUAAAGAGCCUCUGGAUGCAAG